UACGGAGGAUGCGAGCGUUAUCCGGAUUCAUUGGGUUUAAAGGGUGCGCAGGCGGCGCCCCAAGUCAGCGGUAAAAUCCCCGGGCUCAACCCGGGCGCGCCGUUGAAACUGGGUUGCUUGAGCGUGUGCGACGGAGGCGGAAUGCGUGGUGUAGCGGUGAAAUGCAUAGAUAUCACGCAGAACCCCGAUUGCGAAGGCAGCUUCCGAGCACAUGUCUGACGCUGAGGCACGAAAGCGUGGGUAUCGAACA
rnacentral:rRNA from 1 species